rnacentral:rRNA from 1 species
AAAAACUCCGGUGGUAUGGGAUGGGCCCGCGUCUGAUUAGGUAGUUGGCGGGGUAACGGCCCACCAAGCCGACGAUCAGUAGCCGGCCUGAGAGGGUGGCCGGCCACAUUGGGACUGAGACACGGCCCAAACUCCUACGGGAGGCAGCAGUGGGGAAUAUUGCGCAAUGGGGGAAACCCUGACGCAGCAACGCCGCGUGAGUGAGGAAGUAUUUCGGUAUGUAAAGCUCUAUCAGCGGGGAAGAAGGAAGACGGUACCCGACUAAGAAGCCCCGGCUAACUACGUGCCAGCAGCCGCGGUAAUACGUAGGGGGCGAGCGUUAUCCGGAUUUACUGGGUGUAAAGGGAGCGUAGACGGCGUCGCAAGUCUGAAGUGAAAGCCCGGGGCUCAACCGCGGAACCGCUUUGGAAACUGUGAGGCUGGAGUGCUGGAGAGGUAAGCGGAAUUCCUGGUGUAGCGGUGAAAUGCGUAGAUAUCAGGAGGAACACCGGUGGCGAAGGCGGCUUACUGGACAGUGACUGACGUUGAGGCUCGAAAGCGUGGGGAGCGAACAGGAUUAGAUACCCUGGUAGUCCACGCGGUAAACGAUGAGUGCUAGGUGUCGGGGGGCAAAGCCCCUCG